rnacentral:rRNA from 1 species
CCCUUAGAUGUUCUGGGCCGCACGCGCGCUACAAUGGUCUUCGCAAACGGAUGCAUUCUCGAAGGAGAAUGCCAAUCUUGGAAUCUAUGCCUUGGUCGGGACAGUUGCUUGCAAUUUUUCGACUCGAACCAGGAAUUCCUUGUAAUCGUGAUUCAUCACAUCACGAUGAAUACGUCCCUGCCCUUUGUACACACCGCCCGUCGCUCCUACCGAUCGAAGAGUUAGGUGAAUUGUUUUGAUCGAUAAGAUUUGACCAUGGUCAACUCUCGUUGUGAAAUUCUGUGAAUCUGACUGUUUAGAGGAAGGAAAAGUCGUAACA